rnacentral:tmRNA from 1 species
GGGGGUGACCUGGCUUCGACGGGGGUUGCAAAGCAGCUUGGGGCAUGCCGAGGUGUUGGUCCUCGUAAAACCCUGACAAUCGCAAAUUUAACUGCGAACGACGAAACGUACGCUCUGGCGGCUUAACCCCGCCGGACCUCGCACCGGGCAGCGCUCGGUUCGGGUGACGUAGCCGGCAACGGCGAAACCACAGCGAGGACAUCUAGAGCGAUCGCGCCCGCCCGGGUCACUUGGGUAAGGCGUUAAACCAAGGUGACUGGUCCUGCCGCCGCCUGUCCGUCAGCGGUUGCGGGAUGACAGCACAAUGACGCGACUAAGCAUGUAGUCCUGACUGCGGAGUGCUUCCGGACGGCGGUUCGAUUCCGCCCACCUCCACCA